GUCAGCAGGAAGGAGAGGUGGCGGGGCGCGCGGUGUGAGGCCCGCCCGUCGCCCGGUGGGAUUCCAACAUGGCGGCGAGGAGAGGUGGAGGCGGGUCUGCUGGCUGCUACGUGGCACCACUCUGCCUGCAAGGAGAGUCGUGGUGGCAAAGGGCAGCGGGACGUGAUGACAACCUUGACCCAUAUUCCUCUUGAGAACCUUCAACCUCAACACAAGACAAGCAGCUUAGCCACGACACCUUGAGUGUGGCAACCACUAUGUCUCAGCGCCUCCUUCAGCGUCUCCCAGGAGCGGCGGCUGUGGGAGCUUGUGGCUUUGGCGAGGGAGGGAGCCUGACUGCAUACGUGAGGAGCAGGGGCCCCGCCAGGGAGGGAGCUGCAGUUUGGUGGCCACGCUACGAAGUGCAGUGUCACUAAGCACACAUGAUUUAUGCACCGUCCCGCAACAAAACAAGGAGAGGGAACUCAUUGCAUAUGAAUGGAACUCACUCUGCAUGCUGAGGAAAGGCAAGAUUGGAGGCAGCACAUCCAAUACCGCUCCCACGAAGCAACAUCAACAGGCGGCCUGGAGAGGAGCAAGGGAGAGGGAGGAUGCAGCGACAGACAAGAAGGAAGAAAAUAAUGAUUAACAAGAAAAUGCACGCGAUCAUAUAAUAAGAUUGUCUAUGUUUUGAUAACCACCUCCCAUGACCGCUGUAAAGCAGUGUCUUCUUCGUGUAAAUGUGUAGUUUCUGAUGCUUGGGAAGUGAGCUGUUAGAAUCAUACGCGCUCACUCCAACGUCACUUGGACACUUGUGAUGUGAGUUUACCAGUGUAAUCUAAUAUGCAUGGAAGAAAAAUUGGACUGGCAUAAAUAUCACAAACAAU